rnacentral:lncRNA from 1 species
UUCAAUCACUCUCGCUUUAUCCGAAGAUCUCUAUCCUGGUUUUUAUUCUUUCGUUCAGUCACUUAUUCAAACUUACUGUGUCUCUAGCGUAUGCACGGUGAAAGGAAGUGUGAACCUGCCACUGGAGCAAUGAGUCAGUGUCCAUAGCCUGCACUGGGGACCUCAGGGGAGGCAUUCUGCAGUGAGCCUGAGCGAUGACUGAACAGAGGUGUUGACUGCCUGUGCCUGUGGAAGGUUCAUCAUCUGCUUGAAGCUGAGCAUCCUGUAGGCUGAAAAUACUGCCUUUAAGAAUGAGGAAACCACAGCUGUGAAGUGAGAAUGAAUAUUAAGGAACUACUUACAUCCAUGAGCAGAAGUUACAGCUAAGGUGUUUGGGUCCAGAGGAAAAACAGUCACUUGGAAGCAAACAAAAUAAGGAUUUAAAAUGAAGAUGGUACCUACAGGGAGAUCCAAGGUCUGACACACAGAUAUGGUUCCAAAUAAAGCUGGUGGUCCACAACUUCCAUUUAUCCCUGAGGACUGAACUCAACCCCAGCCCUCCUGCAGACUUGAGCUUAACGCAGAUACUGACCAAGGAUUUUUCUACCACCUGAUCCUAAGGAUGCAAUCACGGUCACAGUGGACUGUGUGUGGACAUGGUGUCUCUUCAGGUGGCUCUGGUCGCAGGUAGGUCUGAAGUACUGACAGCUCUGAGCUAGCCUUCCAGAAGGCGUGACUGCUCUCCCUGGGCCCCUGGGCUCUGUGCUCUCU